CCUUUGACGUUAGCGGCGGACGGGUGAGUAACACGUGGGUAACCUACCUAUAAGACUGGGAUAACUUCGGGAAACCGGAGCUAAUACCGGAUAAUAUUUCGAACCGCAUGGUUCGAUAGUGAAAGGUGGUUUUGCUAUCACUUAUAGAUGGACCCGCGCCGUAUUAGCUAGUUGGUAAGGUAACGGCUUACCAAGGCGACGAUACGUAGCCGACCUGAGAGGGUGAUCGGCCACACUGGAACUGAGACGCGGUCCAGACUCCUACGGGAGGCAGCAGGG
rnacentral:rRNA from 1 species